UCAAUACUCCCUUCGUCCGAAAAAGUUUGUCUCUUAAAUGGAUGUAUCUAGCACCAAGUUAGUGCUAGAUACAUCUAUUUGAAAGACAAAAUUGGGACAAGCUUUUUCGGACUAAGGGAGUACUUG
rfam:Triticum urartu cultivar G1812 contig289384, whole genome shotgun sequence.